GCCUGGUUAGUACUUGGAUGGGUGACCGACUGGGAAUGCCAGGU
rnacentral:rRNA from 10 species